AUUUUGGAAAUCCAAAAUAAAUGAAGCCUGCCUUGGUUCCCUUGCAUCAUUUUUUAAUCCAGGUCCAUCAACAUGCUCAGCCUGUGUGUAUUUAUUCCUUCACAGUGCAAGCAUGCAGAUUUCACCCUUUUAAGAUGAAAUGCAAUGACCAUAUAUGCCACUUUGACUGUUCUCAAUGUCUCCUCACUGGCUUUUCAAGCAAAAUCCAAAAAGAAGCUCAGAGACAGAUAAGCUGAGAGAGAAAGCAACUGAUCUUCUGUCCCCUGUGAAUGAGGAACACAGCAGCAUGCUCAGAUUUAGCUGCAGCCUUAAUGUAAUGUAGUGUCCCUCCCUUCUGUGCCUUCUCCCAUCCAUUAGUUGCCAUAAACAAAACUGCAGUAUUGUCAGGUUGCAAGCACGCUAAUCAAGUCACACAUUUGGGUGAUAGCAUAAACGGCAUAAAUGCCUAUUACUGCCAUAAUAACAGUUUCAGCAUAGGAGCCAAGAGGAGGAAGAAUAGGGAUAGAAGAAAAAUAAGGCUGUUAUGCAGAGAUCAUCUCUAGGAAGCUGCUUUUCCUUUUGCAACAACCUAAUCAAACCCUCGCUGCCUCUUAUUGAGGGGGGGUUUCACAGUACUAUUUUUAGUUCUGCUCUAAAUCAACAAUUUCAUGGAUUUAUGUUUGUUUUUUCUUAAUAUGACUGUCAUUUAUUAAAAUAGCAAAGAGAUACGGGAGCAGGUAGAACUUACAAGGGAAAGAUGAGAGGGAGAGUGUAAAAAAUAAAGCAUUUUAUGGAAAAGAUCCAUGGAUCUUUUAAGAACUCUGGGGUAUUGUUUUUAUACAUAUUGAAUAGUUUAAUAGAGAAUUCUCGUGCAAAAUUUAAUACAAGUCAAAAAUCUCAUAGAAAUAUCCUGACUUUUUAAUGGGAAUAAGUGUUACACAAAAGCAACUUAUAGGGCAGCCAGCCAUCUUAAUAUACAUACUCAUUAAGGUGCUAUGCAGACCAGUACUAAGCAGAUGAUUUUUUGUUGAUGAUAUAACUGAGUGUGAAACUUACUGCAUUUUUAAGAUUUGAACAACUUUUACAGGUUAUAGGUAUGAAACAAGCACAUAUAACUCUAUGAAAUCAUGUAUUCGAGGUAAAAUGCAAGUCAACAGUGAACCUCCCUCUAAUUUGGCAAUAUGGAGAUCACCCAUUUCUCCCUGCCUUACCUCAAAACAUCAAAUUGCAAGUACAGACAACACUCAGUUUUACUGCUACCUCCCUCACUAUAAUUUGAAGAUGUAGCCAUAUGUAACGGUAUCUCUGUCUCUUUAGCAUAAAAACUAGCUCAAUAACCUACUCAAACAUUCCUUCCUGGCUCCAUCCAAAUAAACAAGGCAAGCUCGCUAUGAAGUAUCCCUUCUAUUUUCUCUUCAGCUUAAUGUCUAUAGGUACAUUGCCACUUGACCAUGCCUAAACAAAACCAUAUAAAUGACUGCAAGAAGACCAGUUUGCUCAGCCUUCUCAUUGGUGAUGAGACUGAAGCACCGGGAAUCAAAUGUUGCCAUCCUUCAUCAUGCUGUAAGUACCUUACCUUGCUCAUCCUCCUCUGGGCAUUCAGUGGAUCAGUGGCUCUGAGGGUCUAAAAUGCUCUCUUCAGACAAAUCAGCUCUUUAGUACAGAGCUAUAUUUGCAAGCUGAGUGUCGGAGUCUUUCUACUCACCUGCAGGACAGAGGUUGCCCUACAGAGUCGGUCCUCCCAAUGUACUUCCAGCUAAUUCCAGACUCUUCAUUUUGGUAAUCUGUGCAAUAUUCCCCAUGACGUUGACAUAUGUAUUGUCCCUAAUGGAUGUCUCUGUAAUCCAGUUCUAGAUUGGUGGGUGCAAAUGCAUACAGAGUUUUAGUAUAGUG
ensembl:lncRNA